UUCCGGUUGAUCCUGCCGGACCUGACUGCUAUCGGAUUGAUACUAAGCCAUGCGAGUCAUUGUAGCAAUACAAGGCAUACGGCUCAGUAACGCGUAGUCAACCUAACCUAUGGACGGGAAUAACCUCGGGAAACUGAGAAUAAUGCCCGAUAGAACAUUAUGCCUGGAAUGGUUUAUGUUCCAAAUGAUUUAUCGCCGUAGGAUGGGACUGCGGCCUAUCAGUUUGUUGGUGAGGUAAUGGCCCACCAAGACUAUUACAGGUACGGGCUCUGAGAGGAGUAGCCCGGAGAUGGGUACUGAGACACGGACCCAGGCCCUAUGGGGCGCAGCAGGCGAGAAAACUUUGCAAUGUGCGAAAGCACGACAAGGUUAAUCCGAGUGGUUUCUGCUAAAGGAACCUUUUGUCAGUCCUAGAAACACUGAUGAAUAAGGGGUGGGCAAGUUCUGGUGUCAGCCGCCGCGGUAAAACCAGCACCUCAAGUGGUCAGGAUGAUUAUUGGGCCUAAAGCAUCCGUAGCCGGCUCUGUAAGUUUUCGGUUAAAUCUGUACGCUCAACGUACAGGCUGCCGGGAAUACUGCAAAGCUAGGGAGUGGGAGAGGUAGACGGUACUCGGUAGGAAGGGGUAAAAUCCUUUGAUCUAUUGAUGACCACCUGUGGCGAAGGCGGUCUACCAGAACACGUCCGACGGUGAGGGAUGAAAGCUGGGGGAGCAAACCGGAUUAGAUACCCGGGUAGUCCCAGCUGUAAACCAUGCAAACUCAGUGAUGCAU
rnacentral:rRNA from 2 species